rnacentral:rRNA from 1 species
AUUGAACGCUGGCGGUAGGCCUAACACAUGCAAGUCGAACGGCAGCACAGUAAGAGCUUGCUCUUACGGGUGGCGAGUGGCGGACGGGUGAGGAAUACAUCGGAAUCUACUUUUUCGUGGGGGAUAACGUAGGGAAACUUACGCUAAUACCGCAUACUACCUACGGGUGAAAGCAGGGGAUCUUCGGACCUUGCGCGAUUGAAUGAGCCGAUGUCGGAUUAGCUAGUUGGCGGGGUAAAGGCCCACCAAGGCGACGAUCCGUAGCUGGUCUGAGAGGAUGAUCAGCCACACUGGAACUGAGACACGGUCCAGACUCCUACGGGAGGCAGCAGUGGGGAAUAUUGGACAAUGGGCGCAAGCCUGAUCCAGCCAUACCGCGUGGGUGAAGAAGGCCUUCGGGUUGUAAAGCCCUUUUGUUGGGAAAGAAAAGCAGCAGGUUAAUACCCCGCUGUUCUGACGGUACCCAAAGAAUAAGCACCGGCUAACUUCGUG